rnacentral:sRNA from 1 species
UCCACAGGAGGAGAACAUCUGCCUGCACUGGGCCUCCUUCACGGGCAGCGCCGCCAUCGCCGAAGUCCUUCUGAAUGCGCGCUGUGACCUCCAUGCUGUCAACUACCAUGGGGACACCCCCCUGCACAUCGCAGCUCGGGAGAGCUACCAUGACUGCGUGCUGUUAUUCCUGUCACGUGGGGCCAACCCUGAGCUGCGGAACAAAGAGGGGGACACAGCAUGGGACCUGACUCCCGAGCGCUCCGACGUGUGGUUUGCGCUUCAACUCAACCGCAAGCUCCGACUUGGGGUGGGAAAUCGGGCCAUCCGCACAGAGAAGAUCAUCUGCCGGGACGUGGCUCGGGGCUAUGAGAACGUGCCCAUUCCCUGUGUCAACGGUGUGGAUGGGGAGCCCUGCCCUGAGGAUUACAAGUACAUCUCGGAGAACUGCGAGACGUCCACCAUGAACAUCGAUCGCAACAUCACUCACCUGCAGCACUGCACGUGUGUGGACGACUGCUCUAGCUCCAACUGCCUGUGCGGCCAGCUCAGCAUCCGGUGCUGGUAUGACAAGGAUGGGCGAUUGCUCCAGGAAUUUAACAAGAUUGAGCCCCCGCUGAUUUUCGAGUGUAACCAGGCGUGCUCAUGCUGGAGAAACUGCAAGAACCGGGUCGUACAGAGUGGCAUCAAGGUGCGGCUACAGCUCUACCGAACAGCCAAGAUGGGCUGGGGGGUCCGCGCCCUGCAGACCAUCCCACAGGGGACCUUCAUCUGCGAAUAUGUCGGGGAGCUGAUCUCUGAUGCUGAGGCUGAUGUGAGAGAGGAUGAUUCUUACCUCUUCGACUUAGACAACAAGGAUGGAGAGGUGUACUGCAUUGAUGCCCGUUACUAUGGCAACAUCAGCCGCUUCAUCAACCACCUGUGUGACCCCAACAUCAUUCCCGUCCGGGUCUUCAUGCUGCACCAAGACCUGCGAUUUCCACGCAUCGCCUUCUUCAGUUCCCGAGACAUCCGGACUGGGGAGGAGCUAGGGUUUGACUAUGGUGACCGCUUCUGGGACAUCAAAAGCAAAUAUUUCACCUGCCAAUGUGGCUCUGAGAAGUGCAAGCACUCAGCCGAAGCCAUUGCCCUGGAGCAGAGCCGUCUGGCCCGCCUGGACCCACACCCUGAGCUGCUGCCCGAGCUCAGCUCCCUGCCCCCUGUCAACACAUGAGAACGGACCACACCCUCUCUCCCCAGCAUGGAUGGCCACAGCUCAGCCGCCUCCUCUGCCACCAGCUGCUCGCAGCCCAUGCCUGGGGGUGCUGCCAUCUUCUCUCCCCACCACCCUUUCACACAUUCCUGACCAGAGAUCCCAGCCAGGCCCUGGAGGUCUGACAGCCCCUCCCUCCCAGAGCUGGUUCCUCCCUGGGAGGGCAACUUCAGGGCUGGCCACCCCCGUGUUCCCCAUCCUCAGUUGAAGCUUGAUGAAUUGAAGUCGGGCCUCUAUGCCAACUGGUUCCUUUUGUUCUCAAUAAAUGUUGGGUUUGGUAAUAAA